rnacentral:rRNA from 1 species
UUGCUAUCUGCUGACGAGCGGCGGACGGGUGAGUAAUGCUUGGGAAUAUGCCUUAUGGUGGGGGACAACAGUUGGAAACGACUGCUAAUACCGCAUAACGCCUACGGACCAAAGGAGGGGAUCUUCGGACCCUUCGCCAUUUGAUUAGCCCAAGUGAGAUUAGCUAGUUGGUAAGGUGAAGGCUUACCAAGGCGACGAUCUCUAGCUGGUUUGAGAGGAUGAUCAGCCGCACUGGGACUGAGACACGGCCCAGACUCCUACGGGAGGCAGCAGUGGGGAAUAUUGCACAAUGGGGGAAACCCUGAUGCAGCCAUGCCGCGUGUGUGAAGAAGGCCUUCGGGUUGUAAAGCACUUCCAGUUGUGAGGAAAGGUAUGUAGUUAAUAACUGCAUUCUGCGACGUUAACAACAGAAGAAGCACCGGCUAACUUCGUGCCAGCAGCCGCGGUAAUACGAGGGGUGCAAGCGUUAAUCGGAAUUAUCUGGCGUAAAGCGUUCGUAGGCGGUUAUUUAAGCUAGAUGUGAAAGCCCAGGGCUCAACCUUGGAACUGCAUUUUGA